CACGUAGGGUGCGAGCGUUGUCCGGAAUUACUGGGCGUAAAGAGCUCGUAGGUGGUUUGUCGCGUUGUUCGUGAAAACCGGGGGCUUAACCCUCGGCGUGCGGGCGAUACGGGCAGACUGGAGUACUGCAGGGGAGACCGGAAUUCCUGGUGUAGCGGUGGAAUGCGCAGAUAUCAGGAGGAACACCGGUGGCGAAGGCGGGUCUCUGGGACGGUACUGACGCUGAGACGCGAAAGCGUGGGGAGCGAACAGG
rnacentral:rRNA from 1 species